rnacentral:rRNA from 1 species
GACGAACGCUGGCGGCGUGCUUAACACAUGCAAGUCGAACGGAAAGGCCCCUUUGGGGGUACUCGAGUGGCGAACGGGUGAGUAACACGUGAGUAACCUGCCCUUGACUUCGGGAUAACUUCAGGAAACUGGGGCUAAUACCGGAUAGGAAUCCUUGCUGCAUGGUGGGGGUUGGAAAGCUUCGGCGGUUUUGGAUGGACUCGCGGCUUAUCAGCUUGUUGGUGGGGUAGUGGCUUACCAAGGCUUUGACGGGUAGCCGGCCUGAGAGGGCGACCGGCCACAUUGGGACUGAGAGACGGCCCAGACACCUACGGGAGGCAGCAGUGGGGAAUAUUGCACAAUGGGCGGAAGCCGGAUGCAGCAACGCCGCGUGCGGGAUGACGGCCUUCGGGUUGUAAACCGCUUUCAGCAGGGGCGAAGCUUGUGGUGACGGUACCUGCAGAAGAAGCACCGGCUAACUACGUG